GACGAACGCUGGCGGCGUGCUUAACACAUGCAAGUCGAACGAUGAAGAAGAGACACGCGAACUUCGGUUCAAAUUUCACUUCGGAUUAGUGGCAGACGGGUGAGUAACGCGUGAGCAACCUACCUCUUACAAAGGGAUAGCCUCGGGAAACCGUGAUUAAUACCAUAUGACACAUUCAUAAGGCAUCUUAAGAAUGUUAAAGCUACGGCGGUAAGAGAUGGGCUCGCGUCCCAUUAGCUAGUUGGUGAGGUAACGGCCCACCAAGGCGACGAUGGGUAACCGGCCUGAGAGGGUGAACGGUCACAUUGGAACUGAGACACGGUCCAAACUCCUACGGGAGGCAGCAGUGGGGAAUAUUGCACAAUGGAGGGAACUCUGAUGCAGCGACGCCGCGUGGGCGAUGAAGGAAUUCGUUUCGUAAAGCUCUGUUCUAUGGGAAGAAAAGGACUGUACCAUAGGAGAAAGCCCCGGCUAAAUACGUG
rnacentral:rRNA from 1 species